rnacentral:rRNA from 1 species
GAUGAACGCUUGCGGGAGGCCUAACACAUGCAAGCCGAGCGGUAGAGUCUCUUCGGAGACUUGAGAGCGGCGCACGGGUGCGGAACACGUGUGCAACCUGCCUUUAUCUGGGGGAUAGCCUUUCGAAAGAAAGAUUAAUACCCCAUAAUAUAUUGAUUGGCAUCGAUUGAUAUUGAAAACUCCGGUGGAUAAAGAUGGGCACGCGCAAGAUUAGAUAGUUGGUGAGGUAACGGCUCACCAAGUCGAUGAUCUUUAGGGGGCCUGAGAGGGUGAUCCCCCACACUGGUACUGAGACACGGACCAGACUCCUACGGGAGGCAGCAGUGAGGAAUAUUGGACAAUGGGUGAGAGCCUGAUCCAGCCAUCCCGCGUGAAGGAUUAAGGACCUAUGGUUUGUAAACUUCUUUUGUACAGGGAUAAACCUACUUACGUGUAAGUAGCUGAAGGUACUGUACGAAUAAGCACCGGCUAACUCCGUGCCAGCAGCCGCGGUAAUACGGAGGGUGCAAGCGUUAUCCGGAUUUAUUGGGUUUAAAGGGUCCGUAGGCGGAUUUAUAAGUCAGUGGUGAAAGCCUAUCGCUUAACGAUAGAACUGCCAUUGAUACUGUAAGUCUUGAGUGUAGUUGAGGUAGCUGGAAUAAGUAGUGUAGCGGUGAAAUGCAUAGAUAUUACUUAGAACACCAAUUGCGAAGGCAGGUUACCAAGUUACAACUGACGCUGAGGGACGAAAGCGUGGGGAGCGAACAGGAUUAGAUACCCUGGUAGUCCACGCCGUAAACGAUGCUAACUCGUUUUUGGAUUUUCGGAUUCAGAGACCAAGCGAAAGUGAUAAGUUAGCCACCUGGGGAGUACGAACGCAAGUUUGAAACUCAAAGGAAUUGACGGGGGCCCGCACAAGCGGUGGAUUAUGUGGUUUAAUUCGAUGAUACGCGAGGAACCUUACCAAGACUUAAAUGGGAACUGACAGAUUUAGAAAUAGAUCUUCCUUCGGGCAGUUUUCAAGGUGCUGCAUGGUUGUCGUCAGCUCGUGCCGUGAGGUGUUAGGUUAAGUCCUGCAACGAGCGCAACCCCUGUCACUAGUUGCCAUCAUUCAGUUGGGGACUCUAGUGAGACUGCCUACGCAAGUAGAGAGGAAGGUGGGGAUGACGUCAAAUCAUCACGGCCCUUACGUCUUGGGCCACACACGUAAUACAAUGGCCGGUACAGAGGGCAGCUACACAGCGAUGUGAUGCGAAUCUCGAAAGCCGGUCUCAGUUCGGAUUGGAGUCUGCAACUCGACUCUAUGAAGCUGGAAUCGCUAGUAAUCGCGCAUCAGCCAUGGCGCGGUGAAUACGUUCCCGGGCCU